rnacentral:rRNA from 1 species
UACGUAGGGGGCUAGCGUUGUCCGGAAUCAUUGGGCGUAAAGCGCGUGUAGGCGGCCCGGUAAGUCCGCUGUGAAAGUCGGGGGCUCAACCCUCGAAAGCCGGUGGAUACUGUCGGGCUAGAGUACGGAAGAGGCGAGUGGAAUUCCUGGUGUAGCGGUGGAAUGCGCAGAUAUCAGGAGGAACACCAAUAGCGAAGGCAGCUCGCUGGGACGUUACUGACACUAAGGCGCGAAAGCGUGGGGAGCGAACAGG